GGCUCAGGAUGAACGCUGGCGGCACGCCUAACACAUGCAAGUCGAACGGAGUUAUGAAGCUUGCUUGAUAAACUUAGUGGCGGACGGGUGAGUAACACGUGAGCAACCUGCCUUUCAGAGAGGAAUAGCUUCUGGAAACGGAUGGUAAUACCUCAUAACAUAUUGAUACGGCAUCGUAUUAAUAUCAAAGAUUUAUCGCUGAAAGAUGGGCUCGCGUCUGAUUAGCUGGUUGGUGAGGUAACGGCCCACCAAGGCAACGAUCAGUAGCCGGACUGAGAGGUUGAACGGCCACAUUGGGACUGAGACACGGCCCAGACUCCUACGGGAGGCAGCAGUGGGGAAUAUUGCACAAUGGGCGCAAGCCCUGAUGCAGCGAUGCCGCGUGAGGGAAGAAGGUUUUCGGAUUGUAAACCUCUGUCAUCGGGGACGAAAAUGACGGUACCCGAGAAGGAAGCUCCGGCUAACUACGUGCCAGCCGCCGC
rnacentral:rRNA from 1 species